rnacentral:rRNA from 1 species
UACAUAGGGUGCAAGCGUUGUCCGGAUUUAUUGGGCGUAAAGAGUUCGUAGGCGGUUUUUCGCGUCGGAUGUGAAAACUCAGGGCUCAACCCUGAGCCUGCAUUCGAUACGGGAAGACUCGAGGACGGCAGGGGAGACUGGAACUUCUGGUGUAGCGGUGGAAUGCGCAGAUAUCAGAAAGAACACCAAUGGCGAAGGCAGGUCUCUGGGCCGAUCCUGACGCUGAGGAACGAAAGCGUGGGGAGCAAACAGGAUUAGAUACCCUGGUAGUCCACGCCGUAAACUAUGGACGCUAGGUGUGGGGGACAUUCCACGUUCUCUGCGCCGCAGCUAACGCAUUAAGCGUCCCGCCUGGGGAGUACGACCGCAAGGUUA